GACGAACGCUGGCGGCGUGCCUAAUACAUGCAGGUAGAACGCUGAAGGAGGAGCUUGCUUCUCUGGAUGAGUUGCGAACGGGUGAGUAACGCGUAGGUAACCUGCCUGGUAGCGGGGGAUAACUAUUGGAAACGAUAGCUAAUACCGCAUAAUAUUGACUAUUGCAUGAUAGUCAGUUGAAAGGUGCAACUGCACCACUACCAGAUGGACCUGCGUUGUAUUAGCUAGUUGGUGGGGUAACGGCUCACCAAGGCGACGAUACAUAGCCGACCUGAGAGGGUGAUCGGCCACACUGGGACUGAGACACGGCCCAGACUCCUACGGGAGGCAGCAGUAGGGAAUCUUCGGCAAUGGACGGAAGUCUGACCGAGCAACGCCGCGUGAGUGAAGAAGGUUUUCGGAUCGUAAAGCUCUGUUGUAAGAGAAGAACGAGUGUGAGAGUGGAAAGCUCACACUGUGACGGUAUCUUACCAGAAAGAGACGGCUAACUACGUG
rnacentral:rRNA from 1 species